rnacentral:tRNA from 1 species
GCGGAUGUGGCGGAAUUGGCAGACGCGCACGGUUCAGGUUCGUGUGACGAACAGUCAUGAGGGUUCGAGUCCCUCCAUCCGCACCA